GACGAACGCUGGCGGCGUGCUUAACACAUGCAAGUCGAACGGUGAAGCGCCUUCCUUUUUGGUGGGUGUGGAUGAGUGGCGAACGGGUGAGUAACACGUGAGUAACCUGCCCCCUUCUUCUGGAUAACCGCAUGAAAGUGUGGCUAAUACGGGAUAUUCUGGGUCUGUCGCAUGAUGGGUCUGGGAAAGAUAUUGUUUCGGUGGGGGAUGGGCUCGCGGCCUUUCAGCUUGUUGGUGGGGUGAGGGCCUAACAAGGCGGUGGCGGGUAGCCGGCCUGAGAGGGUGGACGGUCACACUGGGACUGGGACACGGCCCAGACUCCUGCGGGAGGCAGCAGUGGGGAAUAUUGCACAAUGGGCGCAAGCCUGAUGCAGCGACGCCGCGUGAGGGAUGGAGGCCUUCGGGUUGUGAACCUCUUUCGCCAGUGAAGCAGGCCUGCCUCGUUUGUGGGUGGGUUGACGGUAGCUGGAUAAGAAGCGCCGGCUAACUACGUG
rnacentral:rRNA from 1 species